GAUGAACGCUAGCGGAAGGCUUAAUACAUGCAAGUCGAGCGGUAGGUGGCUUCGGCCAUUGAGAGCGGCGCACGGGUGAGUAACGCGUACAUGACCUGCCUGUCAGAAGGGAUAGCCCUGGGAAACUGGGAUUAAUACCCUAUGGUAUUGAUAUUAUGAAUGAUAUCAAUUAAAGUUGAGGCGCUGACAGAUGGAUGUGCGUCUGAUUAGCUAGUUGGUAGGGUAACGGCCUACCAAGGCGACGAUCAGUAGGGGGCGUGAGAGCGUGGUCCCCCCACACGGGUACUGAGACACGGACCCGAUCCUACGGGAGGCAGCAGUAAGGAUAUUGGUCGAUGCCCGCAAGGGUGAACCAGCCAUUCCGCGUGGAGGAUGAAGGCCCUAUGGGUUGUAAACUUCUUUAGAUGGAAGAAAAUGCUAGAUGUAUCUGGUACUGACGGUACCAUCAGAAUAAG
rnacentral:rRNA from 1 species